rnacentral:rRNA from 1 species
GACGAACGCUGGCGGCGUGCUUAACACAUGCAAGUCGAACGGAAAGGCCCUGCUUUUGUGGGGUGCUCGAGUGGCGAACGGGUGAGUAACACGUGGGUAACCUGCCCUUGACUUUGGGAUAACUUCAGGAAACUGGGGCUAAUACCGGAUAGGAGCUCCUGCUGCAUGGUGGGGGUUGGAAAGUUUCGGCGGUUGGGGAUGGACUCGCGGCUUAUCAGCUUGUUGGUGGGGUAGUGGCUUACCAAGGCUUUGACGGGUAGCCGGCCUGAGAGGGUGACCGGCCACAUUGGGACUGAGAUACGGCCCAGACUCCUACGGGAGGCAGCAGUGGGGAAUAUUGCACAAUGGGCGGAAGCCUGAUGCAGCAACGCCGCGUGCGGGAUGACGGCCUUCGGGUUGUGAACCGCUUUCGCCUGUGACGAAGCGUGAGUGACGGUAAUGGGUAAAGAAGCACCGGCUAACUACGUG